rnacentral:rRNA from 1 species
GACGUAGGGCGCGAGCGUUGUCCGGAUUUAUUGGGCGUAAAGAGCUCGUAGGCGGCUUGUCGCGUCGACUGUGAAAUCCCGCGGCUCAACUGCGGGUCUGCAGUCGAUACGGGCUAGGCUAGAGUGUGGUAGGGGAGAUCGGAAUUCCUGGUGUAGCGGUGAAAUGCGCAGAUAUCAGGAGGAACACCGGUGGCGAAGGCGGAUCUCUGGGCCAUUACUGACGCUGGAGGAGCGAAAGCCGUGGGAGCGAACAGG